rnacentral:tRNA from 1 species
GCUCCUAUAGCUCAGUUGGUUAGAGCAUCAGUCUUAUGAGCUGAAGGUCUGCGGUUCGACCCCGCAUAGGAGCA